rfam:Medicago truncatula strain A17 chromosome 5, whole genome shotgun sequence.
AAUUUAUGAUCUGGACACCUUUUUAGUGAUAUUUUGAAUCUCUCCCAAGCAUCGUACAAUGUUUCCCUUUCUUGUUGUUUGAAACAUGCAAUCUCUUUUUUUAGAGC